rnacentral:precursor_RNA from 1 species
GAGAGAGAGAUAGAGAGUUGAACAAAUUCUUCAUAGCAACUAGAGGAAGGAUCCAAAGGG